UACGUAGGGUGCGAGCGUUGUCCGGAAUUAUUGGGCGUAAAGAGCUCGUAGGCGGCCUGUCGCGUCGGAUGUGAAAGCCCGGGGCUUAACCCCGGGUCUGCAUUCGAUACGGGCAGGCUAGAGUGUGGUAGGGGAGAUCGGAAUUCCUGGUGUAGCGGUGAAAUGCGUAGAUAUCGGAAGGAACACCGAUGGCGAAAGCAGCGUGCUGGACCUUUUCUGACGCUGAGGCGCGAAAGCCAGGGGAGCAAACGGG
rnacentral:rRNA from 1 species